ACUUAAGCCUUAAACCUAGCUCCCCUCCAGCCCCAAGCGGGGAGCAGCUCUCAAUACCCGGUGAGACACAGAGCACUUGAGCUAUUUCAGCCACAUGAAAAGCAUCGCAAUUGAGAUCGCAGCUCAGAGGACACCGGGCAUCCCUUCCGCCCUCCAAGAAGCCUUGUAUUCUCGCACCUGGCUGCUUGGGACUUUCCUUAGGCAGUAAGCAAAUAAAUAACGCAGGGAUAAGACCACGUGAACAUGUCGAAACAGCCGGUUUCCAAUGUCAGAGCCAUCCAGGCAAAUAUCAAUAUUCCAAUGGGAGCCUUUCGGCCAGGAGCUGGGCAACCCCCCAGAAGAAAAGAAUUUACUCCUGAAACGGAAGAGG